GAGUUUUCAGCUAUGGGGUUUCUGCUUCCUAAUCGGCGUCGUUUCGUGGGUGCUGGAUUGGAUUGGGAAAACUGUCUCUAAUCUCGUUGCUGGUUUAUUUUGGGAAAUAUAAUUUAUAAUGUAAUUAAUUAAUCUCUAUCCAUUCGGACUCAUUUCAAAUCCAUUUGUUUCAAAUGUUUCAAUCUAAAAUAUAUACGCAGCAGCCUCAUAUUUUGGUUCCAAAUAGAUAAGUUCAUCUUUUGUUGGCUAUGCAAGUCUUGAAUCUUGAUAUAUAUGAGCAAAAUAUUUCCAACAUAUUCUUUAAUUAUUAAUUAGCUAAAUUUCUUACACAAAAUUUUUCUAUCUUUAGCAUAAAACACCACACUAAAUUCCCUUCUUUUUUUUUUUUUCCUUUAUGGAAUUUAAUCAGAAUAUUUCAGACAUAUAUAAUCGAAGGGUAAAUUACAACCACCCAUGGUCAAAUUACGAAAAAAUUUGUUUAGGUAAUUAACAAGCACCCCUCACCUAUAUAUAUCUUCUUACAUGUCCAUCCUUGAGGUUUCAAAUUCAGUGAAAUCUUCUAAAUUAUAUGCAAUAUUCUACAUUUUGAAGCUAGAUGAUCAUAAGAUGUGUUUUUUGGUUUGUACAUAUAUCAAAUUGUGGUGCAUCAGAAACUAUAUUUUUGCACAAAACGAGUACAAACUAGAGAACACUCCCAGGAAUCUAGAUGAUUAUAUAUGUUGAAUUUAACACCAUAAGGAUUUGGGAUGUAAGAAGAUUCAUAGUUAAAGGGUAGAUGUAACUAUCCAAAGAGAAGAAAGUUUUUCAUAAUUUAAUCAUACAUCUGGUUGUAAUUUACCCAUAAUAGAAUUCAGGCACAUGGAUUAGUACCAAAAAAGAAAGAAAAAAAAUCAUUGGCAAGUUCACAGAGUUAUAGUGGAAUUAAAAUGAAACAAUUGUUUUCCAGAAGGGGAAGCGGGUAGACAGACAACACAUGUAUAUACAGUAUGAUUAAUCGCAAACUGAAAAAACGAGAGGUUCGUAUGAUUAUAGUUGUGCAGAGAACUAACCUGAAGGUGCGCUGAAGGUACUUUACUUGUGGUGGAUUGAUCAGGAAUGCAAAAAUGAAAUGAGGUACGUAUAUAUGGAAUUGGUGUAGUCGGUGGGGAUUUUUUCCAUUCUCCAAGUCAACUUUUUACA
rnacentral:lncRNA from 1 species